GACGAACGCUGACGGCGUGCCUAACACAUGCAAGUCGAGCGAAGUGAGUACUACGGUACGAACUUAGCGGCGGACGGGUGAGUAACGCGUGGACAAUCUACCCUGUAGACUGGGAUAACACCUCGAAAGGGGUGCUAAUACCGGAUAAUGUCGAGAACCGGCAUCGCUUUUCGAAGAAAGGAGAGAAUCCGCUAUAGGAGGAGUCCGCGUCCCAUUAGCUAGUUGGUGAGGGGAACGGCCCACUAAGGCGACGAUGGGUAGCCGGCCUGAGAGGGUGAACGGCCACACUGGAACUGAGACACGGUCCAGACUCCUACGGGAGGCAGCAGUGGGGAAUAUUGUGCAAUGGGGGAAACCCUGACACAGCAACGCCGCGUGAGCGAAGAAGGCCUUCGGGUUGUAAAGCUCAAUAGUAUGGGAAGAUAAUGACGGUACCAUACGAAAGCCCCGGCUAACUACGUGCCAGCCGCCGCCGUAACAC
rnacentral:rRNA from 1 species